GAUGAACGCUGGCGGCGUGCUUAACACAUGCAAGUCGAACGAACUCUUUCGGGAGUGAGUGGCGGACGGGUGAGUAACGCGUGAGUAUCUGCCCACAGGCGGGGGACAACCAUUGGAAACGAUGGCUAAUACCCCAUAUGUCGAGAGAUGAAAGAUUUAUCACCUGUGGAUGAGCUCGCGUCUGAUUAGCUAGUUGGUGGGGUGACGGCCUACCAAGGCGACGAUCAGUAGCUGGUCUGAGAGGAUGAUCAGCCACACUGGGACUGAGACACGGCCCAG
rnacentral:rRNA from 1 species